AACGAACGCUGGCGGCAGGCUUAACACAUGCAAGUCGAGCGCCGUAGCAAUACGGAGCGGCAGACGGGUGAGUAACGCGUGGGAACGUGCCCUUUGGUUCGGAACAACCCAGGGAAACUUGGGCUAAUACCGGAUAAGCCCUUACGGGGAAAGAUUUAUCGCCGAAGGAUCGGCCCGCGUCUGAUUAGCUAGUUGGUGAGGUAAUGGCUCACCAAGGCGACGAUCAGUAGCUGGUCUGAGAGGAUGAUCAGCCACACUGGGACUGAGACACGGCCCAGACUCCUACGGGAGGCAGCAGUGGGGAAUAUUGGACAAUGGGCGCAAGCCUGAUCCAGCCAUGCCGCGUGAGUGAUGAAGGCCCUAGGGUUGUAAAGCUCUUUCAGUAGGGAAGAUAAUGACGGUACCUACAGAAGAAGCCCCGGCUAACUUCGUGCCAGCAGCCGCAGUAACAC
rnacentral:rRNA from 1 species